UGGCGUCAGUGAUGUCUCUUUUACCUACAUUGUUUGACGUCUUUCUGAGAAAACAUUGUUGUCUGAGACGCUU